rnacentral:misc_RNA from 2 species
CCGAGUUUACAACUCCCAAACCCCAUGUGAACCUACCACUACGUUGCUUCGGCGGGAUGCCCCGGGCGCGGGCCGCAAGGCCUCAGCCCCGGAACCAGGCGCCCGCCGGAGGCCCAAACCAAACUCUUGUUUUUAUAGAAUCUUCUGAGUGGCCUUUUAGGCAACAAAUGAAUCA